rnacentral:rRNA from 1 species
AGUGAACGCUGGCGGUAGGCCUAACACAUGCAAGUCGAACGGCAGCACAGUAAGAGCUUGCUCUUACGGGUGGCGAGUGGCGGACGGGUGAGGAAUACAUCGGAAUCUACUUUUUCGUGGGGGAUAACGUAGGGAAACUUACGCUAAUACCGCAUACGACCUACGGGUGAAAGCAGGGGAUCUUCGGACCUUGCGCGAUUGAAUGAGCCGAUGUCGGAUUAGCUAGUUGGCGGGGUAAAGGCCCACCAAGGCGACGAUCCGUAGCUGGUCUGAGAGGAUGAUCAGCCACACUGGAACUGAGACACGGUCCAGACUCCUACGGGAGGCAGCAGUGGGGAAUAUUGGACAAUGGGCGCAAGCCUGAGCCAGCCAUACCGCGUGGGUGAAGAAGGCCUUCGGGUUGUAAAGCCCUUUUGUUGGGAAAGAAAAGCAGCAGGUUAAUACCCCGCUGUUCUGACGGGACCCAAAGAAUAAACACCGGCUAACUGCGU